rnacentral:ncRNA from 1 species
AGUUGAAAAAGGCAAACUAUCCGAAAGGAUAAGACGCAAAGUUAUGGGUCUAAGGUAUUUUAAUACUAUGACCGCCAGACUACCGAC